UACGUAGGUGGCAAGCGUUAUCCGGAUUUAUUGGGCGUAAAGGGAACGCAGGCGGUCUUUUAAGUCUGAUGUGAAAGCCUUCGGCUUAACCGGAGUAGUGCAUUGGAAACUGGGAGACUUGAGUGCAGAAGAGGAGAGUGGAACUCCAUGUGUAGCGGUGAAAUACGUAGAUAUAUGGAAGAACACCAAUGGCGAAAGCGGCUCUCUGGUCUGUAACUGACGCUGAGGUUCGAAAGCGUGGGUAGCAAACAGG
rnacentral:rRNA from 1 species